rnacentral:lncRNA from 1 species
GUUGCUGUAACACAUAUUUGUUUUCAUUAUUCCGUGCAUAAAUUGUUUUUACAUUUGUCAUUUUGGGGCCUUUUAUAGCUAUGCGGUAUGGACUUUGCUCCUUAUUGAAGGCCAUAUGGUAACAUACAGUUGUUAAUUUCUGUGUCAUUUGGUCUAUUUUGGAGUUGAAUCAUUGGCGAUCAUACUACAUCUUCUUAAUUUUUUUUAUGAAAGUCUGGUUCUUCUUUUUAGUUAUCGAAGAGUCAUGCACAAACAACGGGAAUAUUGGAAAAUAACCUUUA